rnacentral:rRNA from 1 species
GCCCUAUCGUUGGUUCUAGGAGCGCGUAUGAUGAAUAGCGGUAGUUGGGGGCAUUCGUAUUCAGCUGCUAGAGGUGAAAUUCUUGGAUUUGCUGAGGACGAACUACUGCGAAAGCAUUUGCCAAAGAUGCACGCAUUGAUCAAGCACGAAGGAUGGGGGAUCCAAAACGAUCAGAUACCGUUGUAGUCCCAUCAGUAAACGAUGCCGACUAGGGAUUGGGCAAGGAUUUUAUAUGACUUGCCCAGCACCUGAANAGAAAUCUUUAAGUUUAGGUUCGGGGGGGAGUAUGGUCGCAAGGCUGANACUNAAAGGAAUUGACGGAAGGGCACCACCANGUGUGGAGCCUGCGGNUUAAUUUGACUCAACACGGGGAAACUCACCAGGUCCAGACACAAUAAGGAUUGACAGAUUGAUAGCUCUUUCAUGAUCUUGUGGUUGGUGGUGCAUGGCCGUNCUUAGUUGGUGGAGUGAUUUGUCAGGUUAAUUCCGAUAACGAACGAGACCUUGACCUGCUAAAUAGCCCAUGCGGCUUUUGCUGAAUGCUGNCUUCUUACAGGGACUAUCGGUGUUUUAGNCGGUGGAAGUNUGAGGCAAUAACAGGUCUGUGAUGCCCUUANAUGUUCUGGGCCGCACGCGCGCUACACUGACAGAGCCANGGAGUUUAUANCUUGUCCNAAAGGUCCGGGUAAUCUUGUGAAACUCUGUCGUGCUGNGGAUANACCAUUGCAAUA